rnacentral:rRNA from 1 species
GAUGAACGCUGGCGGCGUGCCUAAUACAUGCAAGUCGAACGAAACUUCUUUAUCACCGAGUGCUUGCACUCACCGAUAAAGAGUUGAGUGGCGAACGGGUGAGUAACACGUGGGCAACCUGCCCAAAAGAGGGGGAUAACACUUGGAAACAGGUGCUAAUACCGCAUAACCAUAGUUACCGCAUGGUAACUAUGUAAAAGGUGGCUAUACUACCGCUUUUGGAUGGGCCCGCGGCGCAUUAGCUAGUUGGUAGGGUAAAGGCUUACCAAGGCAAUGAUGCGUAGCCGAAUUGAGAGGGUGAUCGGCCACAUUGGGACUGAGACACGGCCCAAACUCCUACGGGAGGCAGCAGUAGGGAAUCUUCCACAAUGGGCGAAAGCCUGAUGGAGCAACGCCGCGUGGGUGAAGAAGGUCUUCGGAUCGUAAAACCCUGUUGUUAGAGAAGAAAGUGCGUGAGAGUAACUGUUCACGUUUCGACGGUAUCUAACCGGAAAGCCACGGCUAACUACGUG